GUACCAGUUCCUGCCUCCCAUUUCCAGCUCUGCCUGAGUUCGUGUCCCGAUUUUUUCCAAUGACAGAUUAUGAUCUGGAAGGAUGCGGAAAAGCCAAUGAAUGAAUGAAUCAGCAACCAACCAUGGAUGACUUGAUGUGCCCAGCUCCAGAAACAGUGAUGCAGCUCACCAACUCACCUAAACAAAACAUUCAUCAGUGUUCCUGUGAAAUGCCCUCGCAAAUGAGAGGACCCAGAUUACUCCGUGGAUAAUGUUUCCCACACCGUACUGUUGGCUUUUGAGUAAAAUGCAGGUGAAGAAAACAAGACUCAGAAAACCUAAAUCCAAACUAUGCCUGACUACACAUACAUAGCAAGCCAUUAGGAAUUAAUGUCCAGUGUUAACUCCCUUAAAAUUUUAACUCAUCGACAACUUCGGAAGAUAUCUUUUCUCACAAUGGAGACAUCUGCUGGGUCUUG